UAUUGGUCAAUGGCCGGAAGGCUGAACCAGCCAUGCCGCGUGAAGGUCAGUGCCCUAUGGGCGUUAAACUUCUUUUGUGCGGGAGCAAUAAGGUCCACGUGUGGGCCGACGAGAGUACCGUACGAAUAAGCAUCGGCUAACUCCGUGCCAGCAGCCGCGGUAAUACGGGGGAUGCAAGCGUUAUCCGGAUUUAUUGGGUUUAAAGGGUGCGUAGGCGGGCUUUUAAGUCAGCGGUAAAAAUUCGGGGCUCAACCCCGUCCGGCCGUUGAAACUGGGGGCCUUGAGUGGGCGAGAAGAAGGCGGAAUGCGUGGUGUAGCGGUGAAAUGCAUAGAUAUCACGCAGAACCCCGAUUGCGAAGGCAGCCUUCCGGCGCCCUACUGACGCUGAGGCACGAAAGUGCGGGGAUCGAACAGG
rnacentral:rRNA from 1 species